UACGUAGGCGGCAAGCGUUGUCCGGAAUUAUUGGGCGUAAAGCGCGCGCAGGCGGUCCUUUAAGUCUGAUGUGAAAGCCCACGGCUCAACCGUGGAGGGUCAUUGGAAACUGGGGGACUUGAGUACAGAAGAGGAAAGCGGAAUUCCACGUGUAGCGGUGAAAUGCGUAGAGAUGUGGAGGAACACCAGUGGCGAAGGCGGCUUUCUGGUCUGUAACUGACGCUGAGGCGCGAAAGCGUGGGGAGCAAACAGG
rnacentral:rRNA from 1 species